UACGAACUGUGCAAACGUUAUUCGGAAUCACUGGGCUUAAAGGGUGCGUAGGCGGCUGUCUAAGCAGGGUGUGAAAGCCCCCGGCUCAACCGGGGAGUUGCGUUCUGAACUGGACGGCUGGAGUGGGAUAGGGGUGUGUGGAACUUCCGGUGGAGCGGUGAAAUGUGUUGAUAUCGGAAGGAACGCCGGUGGCGAAAGCGACACACUGGGUCUCAACUGACGCUGAGGCACGAAAGCCAGGGGAGCGAACGGG
rnacentral:rRNA from 1 species